rnacentral:rRNA from 1 species
CAGGAAAAGGAUUUAAGUCCUACCUUAAGUUUCUUUGUAACUCUAAUUACUUCACAAAACUUAAGAGCUAUUCAAAUAAGGUACAGCCUAUUUGAAACAGGAUACAACCUACAACAUUGGGUAAUGAAUUCUGCUUCAUAAUUAAGUGGGCCUAAGAGCAGCCACCUUUAAAAAAGCGUUAAAGCUUUAUUAUACUAGCACAAUAAUUACAUUAAUUCCCCAAAACCCUUACCCCCGUACUGAGUGACUUCAUAAUAUUAUGAAAAACCAUAUGCUAGAACUAGUAACAAGAAGAAGACCUUCUCCAAAAUGUACAUAUAGGCCAAAAUGAACAACUCAUUGGCAUUUACCGCUUAUGAACUAACAGUAGUAACUCAACAAGAAAACUCUACUAUCCAUAACGUUAACCUUACACUAGCACAUUCCCGGAAAGAUUAAAAGGAAGGGAAGGAACUCGGCAAAUAAUAACCUCGCCUGUUUACCAAAAACAUCGCCUCCUGAAUAAUUAUAGGAGGUCCAGCCUGCCCAGUGACAAAGUUAAACGGCCGCGGUACCCUAACCGUGCAAAGGUAGCGCAAUCACUUGUUCUUUAAAUGAGGACUAGUAUGAAUGGCAUCACGAGGGUUAUACUGUCUCCCCCACCUAAUCAGUGAAACUGAUCUUCCCGUGAAGAAGCGGGAAUAGAAUUAUAAGACGAGAAGACCCCAUGGAGCUUUAAACUCAACAUCAACUGCCCUCUAAAUAACUUAUCAACCAUGCAGAUCUGACAGUUAGUUUUCGGUUGGGGUGACCGCGGAGUAAAACAAAACCUCCACGAUGAAAGGAAUUAACCUCCUAAUCUAAGAGCUACAGCUCUAAGAAUCAACAAAUUGACAAAACUUGAUCCAAAUAUUUUGAUCAACGAACCAAGUUACCCUGGGGAUAACAGCGCAAUCCAUUUCAAGAGCUCAUAUCGACAAAUGGGUUUACGACCUCGAUGUUGGAUCAGGGUAUCCCAGUGGCGCAGCCGCUA